GCCACCCUUAGCCAUCAGACGGAACUCGAAGAAAGCUUGUGAUGCCAUUCGAAAACAGUGGCAUAUCAUUGUGGAAGGGGAUGAUGUUACCCCACCAAUCAAGAACUUCAAAGAUAUGAGGUUCCCUGAACCAAUUCUGAAGAAACUCAGAGCAAAGGGUAUUAUUCAGCCAACGCCAAUCCAAGUGCAGGGGCUUCCAGUGAUUUUAUCAGGUCGGGAUAUGAUAGGUAUAGCUUUCACAGGUUCAGGUAAGACAUUAGUUUUUGUGCUGCCGCUUAUCAUGGUGGCAUUGCAAGAAGAAAUUAUGUUGCCUAUUGCCCCUGGGGAAGGACCAUUUGGCUUGAUUAUUUGUCCAUCUAGAGAGCUUGCCAGACAGACUUAUGAAGUUAUAGAACAGUUUAUAGAACCUCUGAUGGAGAGUGGUUAUCCGGAAUUGAGGCCUUUGCUAUGCAUUGGUGGAGUUGAUAUGAAAUCCCAGGUUGAUGUUGUGAAGAGGGGAGUUCAUAUUGUUGUUGCUACUCCUGGAAGACUGAAAGAUCUGCUAGCGAAGAAGAAAAUGAACCUUGACAACUGCAGAUACUUGACGCUUGAUGAGGCAGACAGACUGGUAGAUCUUGGUUUUGAAGAUGAUAUUAGGGAGGUGUUUGAUCAUUUCAAAGCUCAAAGACAAACUCUUCUAUUUUCUGCUACAAUGCCCACAAAGAUCCAAAACUUUGCAAGAAAUGCACUUGUUAAACCAGUAAUUGUGAAUGUGGGCAGAGCUGGAGCAGCCAAUCUUGAUGUGAUCCAGGAAGUGGAGUAUGUGAAGCAGGAGGCCAAGAUUGUUUACCUUCUCGAAUGCUUGCAAAAAACACCUCCUCCUGUUCUGGUUUUCUGUGAGAAUAAGGCUGAUGUGGAUGAUAUCCAUGAGUAUUUGCUCUUAAAAGGAGUUGAAGCUGUGGCUGUUCAUGGAGGCAAGGAUCAAGAAGAGAGAGAAUACGCAAUUGCAGCUUUCAAAGCAUGCAAGAAAGAUGUUUUAGUUGCCACUGACGUUGCCUCAAAGGGGCUGGAUUUUCCUGAUAUUCAACAUGUGAUUAACUAUGAUAUGCCUGCUGAAAUUGAAAACUAUGUGCACAGGAUUGGACGAACAGGACGAUGUGGAAAAACAGGAAUUGCCACCACAUUUAUUAACAAGAACCAGAGCGAAACUACUCUGCUUGAUCUAAAGCACUUGCUGCAAGAAGCAAAGCAGAGAAUCCCUCCAGUCCUUGCAGAGCUCAAUGAUCCCAUGGAUGAUGUCGAUGCCAUCACAGAUGCAAGUGGAGUAAAGGGUUGUGCAUAUUGUGGUGGGCUUGGUCAUCGUAUCCGGGACUGUCCCAAACUAGACCACCAAAGAAGUCAACAAAUUGCAAAUUCAAGGCGGGACUACUUCGGCUCUGGAGGUUAUCGUGGAGAAAUUUGAUUCUAAUUUUCGUUUGUUUACUGUAACAUGCAAAAUGUGUUAGCUUAUUUCUGUUCCUUGUGAUCAAAUUCAGUAGUUCUGCCAUAAAUGUAGUUCUAUUACUUACCUCACAGUAAUCCCUAAA
rnacentral:misc_RNA from 1 species